GUAGCCAAAUGCCUCGUCA
rnacentral:ncRNA from 3 species